rnacentral:rRNA from 1 species
UACGGAGGGGGCUAGCGUUGUCCGAAGUUACUGGGCGUAAAGCGCGCGUAGGCGGGUUGGUAAGUCCGCUGUGAAAGCCCGGAGCUCAACUCCGGAGGGUCGGUGGAUACUGCCAGUCUUGAAGGUGCUAGGGGGAGAGUGGAAUUACCGGUGUAGCGGUGAAAUGCGUAGAUAUCGGUAGGAACACCAGUGGCGAAGGCGACUACCUGGCCUGUUCUUGACGCUGGAGGCGCGAAAGCUAGGGGAGCAAACGGG